CACGUAGGACGCAAGCGUUAUCCGGAAUUACUGGGCGUAAAGAGCGUGUAGGCGGCACGGUAAGUCAACCGUGAAAGCUCCCGGCUAAACUGGGAGAGGUCGGAUGAGACUGCCGAGCUAGAGGGUCGUAGAGGGGUGUGGAAUUCCGGGUGUAGUGGUGAAAUGCGUAGAGAUCCGGAGGAACACCAGAGGCGAAGGCGGCACCCUGGACGACACCAGACGCUGAGACGCGACAGCACGGGGAGCGAACGGG
rnacentral:rRNA from 1 species